ACGGAAGGCAGCAGUGGGGAAUAUUGGGCAAUGGGGGAAACCCUGACCCAGCAACGCCGCGUGAAGGAAGAAGGCUUUCGGGUUGUAAACUUCUUUUACCAGGGACGAAGGACGUGACGGUACCUGGAGAAAGAGCCACGGCUAACUACGUGCCAGCAGCCGCGGUAAUACGUAGGUGGCAAGCGUUGUCCGGAUUUACUGGGUGUAAAGGGCGUGUAGGCGGAGAUGCAAGUCAGAAGGGAAAUCUAGGGGCUUAACCCCUAAACUGCUUUUGAAACUGUAUCCCUUGAGUAUCGGAGAGGCAGGCGGAAUUCCUAGUGUAGCGGUGAAAUGCGUAGAUAUUAGGAGGAACACCAGUGGCGAAGGCGGCCUGCUGGACGACAACUGACGCUGAGGCGCGAAAGCGUGGGUAGCAAACAGGAUUAGAUACCCUGGUA
rnacentral:rRNA from 1 species